rfam:Gossypium arboreum cultivar AKA8401 contig_73109_1, whole genome shotgun sequence.
CCUGAGGAAGCGCUUUGUCCACAUCAGUAGAAAACGCUUCCCUGAGGACGUGAUUGGUGCUGAUGUGGACAAAGCGCUUCCUCAGGG